rnacentral:tRNA from 1 species
GGAGGCAUAGCUCAGUCGGUCAGAGCGCUUGCUUCACAUGCAAGAGGUCGUAGGUUCGAACCCUACUGUCUCUACCA